rnacentral:miRNA from 1 species
AAGUUUGGAACAAGCUGUUAACAACUUGUAACAACUUGAUGACAUUAUCAGACUUGUUGCAAGGUUGUUCCAACAAGUCCGACACAGUGAUGGUAUAAUAGUAUUGUUACAACCUUGUGUCGUCAGCCUUGUAACAUUCUUGUUAUAUCAUGACUGUAUCAGACUUGUUAGAACAACUUUGUAACAAGUCUGAUAAUGCCAUCAAGCUUGUUACAAGUUGUUAACAGUUUGUUCCACUAAACUU